AUAGAUGCCCCAGGGGAUCUUGUUAAAAUGCAGAUUCUGAUUGAGUCCUCAUUUCUGGGAUGGGACCUGAGAUUUUUCACAUCUAACAAGUACCCAGAUGAUGCCAAU
rnacentral:pre_miRNA from 1 species